UACGUAGGUGGCAAGCGUUGUCCGGAUUUACUGGGCGUAAAGAGCGUGUAGGCGGCCCGGUAAGUCCGCUGUGAAAGUCGGGGGCUCAACCCUCGGAUGCCGGUGGAUACUGUCGGGCUCGAGUACGGAAGAGGCGAGUGGAAUUCCUGGUGUAGCGGUGAAAUUCGCAGAUAUCAGGAGGAACACCGGUGGCGAAGGCGGCUUCCUGGACACUUACUGACGCUGAGACGCGAAAGCGUGGGGAGCAAACAGG
rnacentral:rRNA from 1 species